rnacentral:rRNA from 1 species
ACGCUCGACACCUACGGGAGCAGCAGUGGGGGAUAUUGCACAAUGGAGGGAACUCUGAUGCAGCGACGCCGCGUGAGGGAAGAAGGUUUUCGGAUUGUAAACCUCUGUCUUCGGUGACGAAAAUGACGGUAGCCGAGGAGGAAGCCACGGCUAACUACGUGCCAGCAGCUGCGGUAAUCUGAGCGGGCUGGCAAGGC